UCAAAUUUAGUAAUCUGGCCCUUGGGUCCGAGUUGUAAUCUAUAGAGGCGUUUUCCGUGCCGGACCGUGUCCAAGUCCCUUGGAACAGGGUAUCAAAGAGGGUGACAAUCCCGUACUUGACACGACGACCGGUGCUCUGUGAUACGUCUUCGACGAGUCGAGUUGUUUGGGAAUGCAGCUCAAAAUGGGUGGUAAAUUCCAUCUAAAGCUAAAUAUUGGCGAGAGACCGAUAGCGAACAAGUACCGUGAGGGAAAGAUGAAAAGCACUUUGGAAAGAGAGUUAAACAGUACGUGAAAUUGUUAAAAGGGAAACGAUUGAAGUCAGUCGUGUCGGUUGGAUUCAGCUCGGUCUCCGGGUGUAUUUCCUUCCGACGGGUCAACAUCAGUUUGGAUCGGUGGAUAAAGAUGGAGGGAAGGUGGCAUCCUCGGAUGUGUUAUAGCCCUCUGUUGCAUACGCUGGUCCGGACUGAGGCAUGCAGCUCGCCUUUAUGGCCGGGGUUCGCCCACGUUCGAGCUUAGGAUGUUGACGUAAUGGCUUUAAACGA
rnacentral:rRNA from 1 species